AUCAAGCUAAUAAGGGCGUAUGGUGGAUGCCUUGGCACCAGUCGGCGAUGAAGGACGCGGGUAGCUGCGAAAAGUCUCGGGGAGCUGCUAAUCAAGCAUUGAUCCGGGAAUGUCCGAAUGGGGAAACCCGGCGGGAGUAAAUAACCCGUCAUCGCGCGCUGAACACAUAGGCGCGACGAAGCGAACGAGGGGAAGUGAAACAUCUCAGUACCCUCAGGAAAAGAAAGUAAACAAACGAUUCCCCAAGUAGUGGCGAGCGAAAGGGGACGAGCCCAAACCACGUGUGCGUGAUAGGCUGCGACCGUUUCACAUGUGGGGUUGUGGGUGUCUGUUUGAGUCUCUUGCAGGAGUCUCGGGAAGUUACAAAGGCAAUGGCUAGCUGAAGCUUCUGGGAAGGAGCGUCACAGAGGGUGACAACCCCGUAAGCGAAAGCCAGUGCCCUUCCUUACAGACCACCCGAGUACCGCGGGACACGAGAAAUCCCGUGGGAAGCCGGAAGGACCAUCUUCCAAGGCUAAAUACGAGCUGGUGACCGAUAGUGAACAAGUACCGUGAGGGAAAGGUGAAAAGCACCCCGUUGAGGGGGGUGAAAUAGUCUCUGAAACCAUGCGCCUACAAUCUGUGGGAGCCCUAUGGCCUUCGGGCAAGGGGUGACUGCGUGCCUUUUGCAUAAUGAGUCAGCGAGUUACUUUGUGCAGCGAGGUUAAGCCGAGAGAGGUGGAGCCGAAGCGAAAGCGAGUCUGAAUAGGGCGACGAAGUUGCACGGAGUAGACCCGAAACCGAGUGAUCUAUCCAUGUCCAGGGUAAAGCUGGGGUAAGACCCAGUGGAGGCCCGAACCGUAGAAAGUUGAAAAUUUCCCGGAUGAGGUGUGGAUAGGGGUGAAAGGCCAAUCAAACUCGGUGAUAGCUGGUUCUCCCCGAAAUAUAUUGAGGUAUAGCCUCGCACGGUAGCCAACGGAGGUAGAGCACUGGAUGGGCUAGGGCCCUUACCGGGGUACCAAACCUAACCAAACUCCGAAUGCCGUUGGUGGAACUGCGGGAGUCAGACUGCGGGGGAUAAGCUCCGUAGUCGAGAGGGAAAAAGCCCAGACCUACAGCUAAGGUCCCAAAAUCCAUGCUAAGUGGGAAAGGAUGUGGGACUGCCCGGACAGCCAGGAGGUUGGCUUAGAAGCAGCCAUCCUUUAAAGAAAGCGUAAUAGCUCACUGGUCGAGCGGGCCUGCGCCCAAGAUGUAACGGGGCUCAAGCAUGGUACCGAAGCUUAGGAUUUGCACUUUAGUGCAAGUGGUAGGGGAGCGUUCUUUCAGGGAAGAAGCCUGACCGUAAGGACAGGUGGACUUGAAGGAAGUGCUUAUGCUGACAUGAGUAGCGAUAAAGCGGGUGAGAAUCCCGCUCGCCGAAAACCCAAGGUUUCCUGGGGAAGGUUCGUCCGCCCAGGGUAAGUCGACACCCUAAGCCGAGGCCGAAAGGCGUAGGUGAUGGGAAACAGGUUAAUAUUCCUGUACCACCGCACUCGCGUUACCACCGAAGGGGGGACGCAGAAGGGCAGGUCAGCCGGGUAAUGGAUGUCCCGGUUUAAGCGUGUAGGCGGGGAGCCCAGGCAAAUCCGGGUUCCCAUUAAAACGCCGAGGCGUGACGACGAGGCCGCUUUAGGCCGAAGUGACUGAUCCCACGCUGCCGAGAAAAGCCCCUAGGGAGUUAGUGAGGUGAACGUACCGCAAACCGACACAGGUGGGUGAGGAGAGAAUCCUAAGGCGCGUGAGAGAACUCUGGCUAAGGAACUCGGCAAAAUAACACCGUAACUUCGGGAGAAGGUGUGCCCUCCCGUGUGAAAGGACUUGCUCCUGGAGCAUAAGAGGGUUGCAGAGAAAUGGCGGUAGCGACUGUUUAUCAAAAACACAGGACUCUGCUAAGUCGCAAGACGAUGUAUAGGGUCUGACGCCUGCCCGGUGCCGGAAGGUUAAGGAGAGAGGUUAGCGCAAGCGAAGCUUUGAACCGAAGCCCCGGUAAACGGCGGCCGUAACUAUAACGGUCCUAAGGUAGCGAAAUUCCUUGUCGGGUAAGUUCCGACCUGCACGAAUGGCGUAACGACUUCCGCACUGUCUCAGCCAGAGACUCAGCGAAAUUGAAGUGGCGGUGAAAAUACCGUCAACCCGCGACAAGACGGAAAGACCCCGUGAACCUUUACUAUAGCUUGGCAAUGGAUUUCGGGUCAGCAUGUGUAGGAUAGGUGGGAGACAAUGAAACCGGGACGCUAGUUUCGGUGGAGUCAACCUUGAAAUACCACCCUUGCUGUUCUGGGAUUCUAACCUGGAUCCGUAAUCCGGAUCAGGGACAUUGCCUGGUGGGUAGUUUGACUGGGGCGGUCGCCUCCCAAAAAGUAACGGAGGCGCGCGAAGGUUCCCUCAGACGGAUUGGAAACCCGUCGUCGAGUGCAAAGGCAUAAGGGAGCUUAACUGCGAGACAAACAAGUCGAGCAGAUGCGAAAGCAGGUCUUAGUGAUCCGGCGGUUCCGCAUGGAAGGGCCGUCGCUCAACGGAUAAAAGGUACUCCGGGGAUAACAGGCUGAUACCCCCCAAGAGUCCACAUCGACGGGGGUGUUUGGCACCUCGAUGUCGGCUCGUCACAUCCCGGGGCUGGAGCAGGUCCCAAGGGUUCGGCUGUUCGCCGAUUAAAGUGGUACGCGAGCUGGGUUCAGAACGUC
rnacentral:rRNA from 1 species